GAGUGGCGGACGGGUGAGUAACACGUGGGUAUCUACCUUUUAGUGAGGAAUACCGGCGAGAAAUCGCUGACAAUACCGCAUAAGCUCGGUGACGAGUAAAGCUCCUUUUCGGAGGGGCGCUAAAAGAUGGGCCUGCGGCCGAUUAGCUAGCUGGUGGGGUAACGGCCUACCAGGGCGACGAUCGGUAGCUGGUCUGAGAGGACGAUCAGCCACACUGGGAUUGAGAGCGGCCCAGACUCCUACGGGAGGCAGCAGUGAGGAAUUUUCCGCAAUGGACGCAAGUCUGACGGAGCAACGCCGCGUGCAGGAAGACGGCCUUCGGGUUGUAAACUGCUUUUAUCGGGGAAGAGAACGGACGGUACCCGAUGAAUAAGCCCCGGCUAACUACGUGCCAGCAGCCGCGGUAAUACGUAGGGGGCGAGCGUUGUCCGGAAUUAUUGGGCGUAAAGCGCACGCAGGCGGUUCGCUAAGUUCGAAGUGACAAUCAACGGCUUAACCGGUGAACGACUUCGAAAACUGGCGGGCUUGAGAGCGAGAGAGGGACAUGGAACUCCGGGUGGAGCGGUGAAAUGCGUAGAGAUCCGGAAGAACACCAAGGCGAAGGCAGUGUCCUGGCUCGUUUC
rnacentral:rRNA from 1 species